UCUGGUAAUUAUGGCGAGAAGGUCACACCCGUUCCCAUACCGAACACGGAAGUUAAGCUUCUCAGCGCCGAUGGUAGUUGGGACAUUGUCCCUGUGAGAGUAGGACAUUGCCAGGC
rnacentral:rRNA from 1 species